rnacentral:lncRNA from 1 species
AUUAAAAAAAUAUGUCUUAAAGUUAAUCAUCUAAAUUAUAGAUGAUUGUGCUCCAUACAAGUAUAUGAAUUAUAAAUUGAUAAGUGUUAUUUGAUAAGUUUAUCAUAAGGAAUAUAUCUUCCUAAAUAGAACUUAUAUGUUAUGAUGAAGUCCUUAGAGCUACUUCUAAAAUGAUAAAAAAAGAUUUAUCGUGUGAUUUUUAAAUUCUGCUCGCGACC